ACCAAACCCAUUCCAAGGCUGGCAGAGAUGUUCACUACAAGGAACUGGAGAAAACAGGAUGUUUGCUUCUCUCCCAGGCCUGUGCUCUACCAGUCUGACCUGCUUCUCCUCCUUGCCUUUUCUGCUAUUCAGGAACCAGGGCUCCAGAGCUCUACAGCCACAGGAAGCACUGCUGGGGAGGAGAAUUGCUUCCCUGGCUCCUGCAGCUUGGACACCAGCAUGAGGCAAUCAGGAGGGUAAUCAAGGAGAAAGGAAAUAAUCUUUCUGGCCCCCACCAGCAACAGCUUACAGUGGGAAGC